GUCCCUGGCUUUAAGGGUGUCGUGAAAGGCCUGGAUGGAGGCUCAACCUCCUAAGUUCUCUUACAGGGGUGAGAAAUACUGAAGGACUAACGCAAUAAGUGUGUGAAUCUGAGAGGGGAAUAUGUUGAAUAAAAUCAUAAUUAACUGAUCCUCCUGUAUUUUUUUUACCCAAAGCCAGGAACUUUUCAGGACCAAUUCUUGUGUGUGUGU